GCCCACGUAGCUCAGUCGGAUAGAGCGACUCUCUCCUAAAGAGUAGGCCGCAGGUUCGAUUCCUGCCGUGGGCA
rnacentral:tRNA from 2 species